rnacentral:sRNA from 2 species
AGUCGUUGCAAGUUCCCGAUAGGCUCUGGAAAAAGGCCAGAGAUUCCUUGUAACCGAAUAAAAAUUAGGGGGAAUAUUUAUAAUG